rnacentral:rRNA from 1 species
UACGGGGGGGGCAAGCGUUGUUCGGAAUUACUGGGCGUAAAGGGCGCGUAGGCGGUUCGCUAAGUUGAAUGUGAAAACUCUGGGCUUAACCCAGAGCCUGCAUUCAAUACGGGCAGGCUCGAGUUCGGUAGGGGAGACUGGAAUUCCUGGUGUAGCGGUGAAAUGCGCAGAUAUCAGGAGGAACACCGGUGGCGAAGGCGGGUCUCUGGGCCGAUACUGACGCUGAGGUGCGAAAGCGUGGGGAGCAAACAGG